GCAGCUUUACUAUAUUAGUCAAAAAGUAGAAACAACCCAAAUGUCCCAUAUGUAAAUGAAUAACAAAUUGUGUUAUAACCUAUAAUAGAAUGUUACAUAGCAAUGAAAAGGAACAAAGCACUCAUGUAUACAUAACAUGGAUGAAUUUCAAGAACAUUAUGCUAAGUGAAAGAAGCCAAGUAUAAGAGAACGCACACCAUGUGAUUCCUUUUCUGUGAAGUUCAAGAACAGGCAGAACUACUCAACAGCCCCCAAAGUCAGAAGAAUGGUUCCUUUGUGUGGGGAGAGGGCGUGACUGAUUCUAAAGAGCACAGGGAGCCCUCUCAAGUGACGGGAAUGUUCCAUCUCGAUCUUGAUGGUUACACGGGUGUAGACACAUGGAAAAAUUACUCAAGCUGUGUACUUAAGACUAGCACACUUUCCUAACUAAAAGGUUAUCUUUUUGUAUCAGCACAUUUACAUCUGAUUCCUUCUGUCGACUAUCUGCAGAGAUUUCUAGUGCACAAAGUUCCAUGUUUUAACCACUGCCCUGUGUAUGGACUUAAUAGGUCGUCUUCAGCAUUUUUGCCAUCGCAGAUGAUGCUAUGAUGAGCAUCCCUGGACAUACCUCUUGUGAUUCCACCGCAAGUAUCCGUAGGGUAAAUUCCUAGAAGAGAAAUUGGUGGGUCAGAGGGAAUGUGGCUCUUGAUGUUUCACAGACAUUGCCCAAUUGCUCUCCAAAAAUCUUGCAGCAAACAUGCACUCCCGUGAACACCACAGUCAUGAGAGUGCUGGUUUUUCCCACACUCUCCCCAGCACUGGAGAUUAUCAACUUUCACAAUGUUUGCCGAUCUGAUAAGUAAAAGAAAAUUAUCUUUUUUUUUUUUUUUAAUUAGAAGCUGCUCUAUCUUUAUCCAUUUCUCAUAUUGGGUUUCUGCAUCUGAUUUUGUUUUUUUAAAAGGAACAAAUUUGUUUUAUUCGUUGCUAAAUAAAACAAAUUAAAAUUUAAGACUAGAAUAAAGGAAAGAUCACAUUUCUUGAGAUUUAACAGCCAAAGGAAGAACAGAAUUUCUCUCCGGUGGGUCGUUUCUGUAACACUGAGGCUGGGAGACCCCGUGGACGCCCAACUCACAGCUCAUGGGGCCAAUUCUGGCUUUGGGCACGAUGUUUCAACUUUCUGUGCCUCAGUUUCUUCACCCGUGAAGCGGAGGGAAUAACAGUGUUAUUAUUGCUGUGACAGUCGUUUGAGCUGUGACUCAUGCAGGGCUCAGACCGCGCCUGGUCUUAUCUCUGCUUCUGCCAUUGCCGACAUCAGCGUGAGUUGUUAUAGAGGCUUCCCCUGUGGGCUUGAGUUUCUGUUUUUCUAAAAUGAGGCUGCGGAGUGAGAUCCCUUCCAGCUCUCCCGCUCUCCUGAUUUCCUGUCCCGUGGCCCCGUGAAGACGUUGCUUCCCUGCCCUGGGCACUAUGUCCCAGCUUCCUGAGGUCACCCAGACACCAACGUACCACCCAGGCUGUGCUGCCUCCGCCUUCUCCUAAAGGCGGCCACACUCAGUUGCCUGGCCACAAAGCGAUGAAGCUUUUUCCAGAACCUCGGGAUCCCUGGAGAGAGCAUUUCCCUUGGCUUCAGCUGCAGCCCCUCUUUCUAGAUGGAGUGAGCUCCAUCGCGGGGGUCCCCCAGGGGGACAGAUACCUUCCUGUUCCCUCUGCCCAAGGGCCCACGCUCAGAGCACUGCCUCCCACACUGUCCCUCUGCAGAUCAACCGAGGCUUUGACUCCAACAGAGAGUGGAUUCUAAUUUAGUCUUGGCUGGGACCCCUUUCCCGCAAAAAGAUAUCUGACCUGAUGUCUUGCCAAGUCUCUACCCUCCUCGGCUUACAUCAUGGAAACUGUCUCUUUUACUUCAUGGAAUUCAAGAACACUUUCUUCCUUCUGGGUCUGAAUCUGAAGCCAGUCACGAAGGGAAGGCACUAAUUUCUCUAAUUGAAAAAUCCUCUCCUCCAGAUUGUAAUGGCCCCGGACAAAAGGAUCAGAUCAUUUGAAAGACAAAUACUCUCUAAGGCAUGCUCCUUGGGACCCUCUACAGACUGUGGAAGCUACUUGGGAGGCAACCACUCCUGUAAUCACUGAGCUUCUGAAACUGACCCUCCACCUGAUGGGCCAGGGUAUCUCAGUUCCAAGAAACCUGCUACUCCGCCUGCAGUCAUCAAGAAGCUACUGUGCACGAGUGGUUUCCAGAAGUUACAGAAAUGGACGAGACAUAGCCUUCCCUCACCACCAAGAGUGGAGGUCACUGCUGCCCUGGCUGCAAGGUGAAUCCCAUUCAAAUUCAUGGUAGGUGAACUAGAGAAACCACACAUCUGAGAUUCUGCUUUCUCCUGCUUCCUUCCCACCAUGCUACCACUCUGGGUUUCAGAGCUGGAUGUUCAGUCUGGAAAAGAAGACCUCCUUGUUUUUUGUU
rnacentral:lncRNA from 1 species